rnacentral:rRNA from 1 species
GAUGAACGCUGGCGGCGUGCCUAAUACAUGCAAGUCGAGCGAACAGACGAGGAGCUUGCUCCUCUGACGUUAGCGGCGGACGGGUGAGUAACACGUGGAUAACCUACCUAUAAGACUGGGAUAACUUCGGGAAACCGGAGCUAAUACCGGAUAAUAUAUUGAACCGCAUGGUUCAAUAGUGAAAGACGGUUUUGCUGUCACUUAUAGAUGGAUCCGCGCCGCAUUAGCUAGUUGGUAAGGUAACGGCUUACCAAGGCAACGAUGCGUAGCCGACCUGAGAGGGUGGUCGGCCACCCUGGAACUGAGACACAGUACAGACUCCUACGGGAGGAAGCAGUAGGGAAUCUUCCGCAAUGGGCGAAAGCCUGACGGAGCAACGCCGCGUGAGUGAUGAAGGUCUUCGGAUCGUAAAACUCUGUUAUUAGGGAAGAACAAAUGUGUAAGUAACUAUGCACGUCUUGACGGUACCUGAUCAGAAAGCCACGGCUAACUACGUG